rnacentral:rRNA from 1 species
UACGGAGGGUCCGAGCGUUAUCCGGAAUCAUUGGGUUUAAAGGGUCCGUAGGCGGGCCUGUAAGUCAGGGGUGAAAGUCUGCCGCUCAACGGUAGGACGGCCUUUGAUACUGCAGGUCUUGAAUUAUAUCGAAGUGGGCGGAAUAUGUAGUGUAGCGGUGAAAUGCAUAGAUAUUACAUAGAACACCGAUCGCGAAGGCAGCUCACUAGGUAUGUAUUGACGCUGAUGGACGAAAGCGUGGGUAGCGAACAGG